AAAAAAAACAGAUUUCGCAACCAUGACCGGUAACCGGUUGGCCAAUCCGGCUGAAAAGGGGACAUAUUCCGCCAUAAUAGUACUUUCCCGGAAGCGGAGUCGAUCUACAAUGCUGCCUUGAUCUGGAGUAGAAUCGAAGGUUUCAGGUCGCAAAAAACGAGACAAAAACUUAAUAUCAUCUCGUUCCCUGCAGUCGCUUGAGGAAAACGCCAAACGAUUCCAGCACUUCUAUCCAUAGGGAAGGGCAAAGGCUAGCGAGUUUUGUUGAGAUAUUGCUGGGGCGGCCUCCGGAAGAAUGCUGCUGGAGUAUGCGGAAACGAUCAAGAGGAACUGGCUAUCAAGCUCCGAAGAGGGAUCCAUGAAUGAGGUAAACGGGCGAAGUGCAUAUCAGUACCGCGAUUUGAAAAACUGAUCGGCUCAAGUAGCAGCAGCCAGCCCAUACAUCUGGAUCUAGGAACGGUUUAUUCAGCGGAAGUCGGAGGUGUUUUUAAAUUACAUUAGAAUAGUGUUUAAUGACUGCAAUCAGGUGAAAUAUCCAUCCAGUACGACACACUCUGACGGGGAGAGAAAGGUUCUAAAUGGUGAGGGGUGAUGGAGUCGGGAAAUUAAAAUAUGCCAUGGAUUUUUUUAGAGUUAUUGUACUUGAAGUAAAAUAUUUCUAGACGUA